rnacentral:rRNA from 1 species
GAUUGUAGUCUGCAACCCGACUACAUGAAGCCGGAAUCGCUAGUAAUCGCGGAUCAGAAUGCCGCGGUGAAUACGUUCCCGGGUCUUGUACACACCGCCCGUCACACCAUGGGAGUCGGGAAUGCCCGAAGUCAGUGACCCCAACCUUAGGGAGGGAGCUGCCGAAGGCAGGCCUGGUGACUGGGGUGAAGUCGUAACAAGGUAAC